AUUCCCCUAGUAACUGCGAGUGAAGCGGGAAAAGCUCAAAUUUAAAAUCUGGUGGCCUUUUGGCCAUCCGAGUUGUAACUUAGAGAAGCGUCUUCCGCGCUGGACCGUGCACAAGUCUCCUGGAAUGGAGCGUCAUAGAGGGUGAGAAUCCCGUCUUUGGCACGGAUGCCCAGGGCUUCUGCGAUGCGCUCUCGACGAGUCGAGUUGUUUGGGAAUGCAGCUCAAAAUGGGUGGUGAACUCCAUCUAAAGCUAAAUAUUGGCGAGAGACCGAUAGCGAACAAGUACCGUGAGGGAAAGAUGAAAAGCACUUUGGAAAGAGAGUGAAACAGUACGUGAAAUUGUUGAAAGGGAAACGCUUGAAGUCAGUCGCGUCGACCGAGACUCAGCCUCGCCUUGGCUUGGUGUACUUCUCGGCUGACGGGUCAGCAUCAAUUUCGAUCCUUGGAUAAUGGCAAGGGAAAGGUGGCACCUUUUUAGGUGUGUUAUAGUCCUCUGUCGCAUGCGAGGGUCGGGAUUGAGGAACUCAGCACGCACCUCUGGGUGUCGGGGCUUCGGCCCACGUUACGUGCUUAGGAUGCUGGCAUAAUGGCUUUAAACGACCCGUCUUGAAACACGGACCAAGGAGUCUAACAUACCCGCGAGUGUUCGGGUGGAAAACCCGUGCGCGUAAUGAAAGUAAAAGUUGGGACCUCUGUCGUGGAGGGCACCGACGCCCGGACCAGACCUUCUGUGACGGCUCUGCGGUAGAGCGUGUAUGUUGGGACCCGAAAGAUGGUGAACUAUGCCUGAAUAGGGUGAAGCCAGAGGAAACUCUGGUGGAGGCUCGUAGCGAUUCUGACGUGCAAAUCGAUCGUCAAAUUUGGGUAUAGGGGCGAAAGAC
rnacentral:rRNA from 1 species